rnacentral:rRNA from 1 species
GACGAACGCUGGCGGCGUGCUUAACACAUGCAAGUCGAACGGUAAGGCCCUUCGGGGUACACGAGUGGCGAACGGGUGAGUAACACGUGGGUGAUCUGCCCUGCACUUCGGGAUAAGCCUGGGAAACUGGGUCUAAUACCGGAUAGGACUCCUGGCUUCAUGGUUGGGGGUGGAAAGCUUUUGCGGUGUGGGAUGGGGCCGCGGCCUAUCAGCUUGUUGGUGGGGUAAUGGCCUACCAAGGCGACGACGGGUAGCCGGCCUGAGAGGGUGACCGGUCGCACUGGGACUGAGAUACGGCCCAGACUCCUACGGGAGGCAGCAGUGGGGAAUAUUGCACAAUGGGCGCAAGCCUGAUGCAGCGACGCCGCGUGAGGGAUGACGGCCUUCGGGUUGUAAACCUCUUUCAGCUAUGACGAAGCGCAAGUGACGGUAGUAGCAGAAGAAGGACCGGCCAACUACGUGCCAGCAGCCGCCGUAAGAC